rnacentral:rRNA from 1 species
GACGAACCGUGCGAACGUUAUUCGGAAUCACUGGGCUUAAAGGGCGCGUAGGCGGGCUGUCAAGUCUGGGGUGAAAUCCCACGGCUCAACCCCGAAACUGCACUUGAUACUGCCUCGCUUGAGUACUGGAGAGGAGACUGGAAUUUACGGUGUAGCAGUGAAAUGCGUAGAUAUCGUAAGGAAGACCAGUGGCGAAGGCGAGUCUCUGGACAGUUACUGACGCUGAGGCACGAAGGCCAGGGGAGCAAACGGG